rnacentral:rRNA from 1 species
GACGAACGCUGGCGGCGUGCUUAACACAUGCAAGUCGAACGGAAAGGCCCCUUUGGGGGUACUCGAGUGGCGAACGGGUGAGUAACACGUGAGUAACCUGCCCUUGACUUCGGGAUAACUUCAGGAAACUGGGGCUAAUACCGGAUAGGAAUCCUUGCUGCAUGGUGGGGGUUGGAAAGCUUCGGCGGUUUUGGAUGGACUCGCGGCUUAUCAGCUUGUUGGUGGGGUAGUGGCUUACCAAGGCUUUGGCGGGUAGCCGGCCUGAGAGGGCGACCGGCCACAUUGGGACUGAGAUACGGCCCAGACUCCUACGGGAGGCAGCAGUGGGGAAUAUUGCACAAUGGGCGGAAGCCUGAUGCAGCAACGCCGCGUGCGGGAUGACGGCCUUCGGGUUGGAAACCGCUUUCAGCAGGGGCGAAGCUUGUGGUGACGGUACCUGCAGAAGAAGCACCGGCUAACUACGUG